GACAGAGGAUGCAAGCGUUAUCCGGAAUGAUUGGGCGUAAAGCGUCUGUAGGUGGCUUUUUAAGUCCGCCGUCAAAUCCCAGGGCUCAACCCUGGACAGGCGGUGGAAACUACCAAGCUGGAGUACGGUAGGGGCAGAGGGAAUUUCCGGUGUAGCGGUGAAAUGCGUAGAUAUCGGAAGGAACACCUGUGGCGAAAGCGGCUCACUGGACCAUUACUGACGCUGAUGCACGAAAGCUAGGGGAGCAAACAGG
rnacentral:rRNA from 1 species